UGCUAGAGCUACCAGGAGCCCAUAAUCUGACAAAUAACUAAAUCAACUUACGACUAAUCACUCUGAGCAGCUUGCUAUAGUUUAGGUUGAUCCUGCCACGUGUAACUCGAUGAGCGAGUGCCGACAAUUGGGACAGGAAGAGUGAGAGACAAGCCACGUGUCGAUACAGGACAUGUGGAAGCUGUGAUUACACGGCGGAAGAACUCGGACCUUCUCACCGUCCGCGAACUCCCCCAGACAGAUGGCGCACUCCGUCGUAGCUAUCUCCACCCCGCUCGACCCGUACGCGGCCACGGGAAACCUCUUCAGUUCUCGCUUCUUCAAUCCGGGCCUGUCUGCCGCCACCGUCGAUGCCGCUGAGGAUAGCCCGAAGCCGCAUCGCAUCGCACACCGGAGUAUCGAAUUGAGCCCAAGCGCAAGUAUCAAAGCGCAGAGCAGAGCAGAGAGUAUGAUCACCAUGUUUGCGUCGAAGUUCAUGUCCCUCAGGUACCCAUCUCCUCCUCCACCGCCAACGUGGGAUUCAAGUAGCAGCCGGUGCAUUCUCGGGUACGAUCGACUAGGAGGCUCCCUCUCAGCUUCGUUAGGUUUUGUGUGUAGAGAGAUACGUGUUAAUGAGGAUACUAGUCAAGUCUAACUGCGUAGUCUCUCUCUCGGUUUGUGGUUAUCUGUUUAGACAAUACCACUACCAUAUAGCAGAAAUUAGGAUGCUAGACAAUAUUUCUGCACCUACUUAAGUAAGAGCCGUACAUUUACUACGGCACUUGUCUCCAGUGUGGCCGGCUUUGUUCGACCUGUAUCGAUUACCACCCGGUCCACCCCUGAGCCCUCUUUGCAGGUUAGUUUCUGGGACCAAACUCUCGGACCAAAUGAUUAUGUUGGACCAUUAUUUAGUGCUGUUUUACCUCUAAAAACCAAACAUAGUGGUGUUUUUAUUAUGGGCCUGUUAAUUUUCCAUGUAAUUAUACCCGAAUAAUUCGGUCUCAUAUUUUCUUUCGGGCUUUACGUACUUAAAAAAAAAUCACUCCCCAUGAACCAUAUUGUAUGCAAAGACUGAUUACUUACUUAAAAAAAAAGUCUACAACUGUAAUAGACUAUCACAACUGCUAGAGCUACCAGGAGCCCAUAAUCUGACAAAUAACUAAAUCAACUUACGACUAAUCACUCUGAGCAGCUUGCUAUAGUUUAGGUUGAUCCUGCCACGUGUAACUCGAUGAGCGAGUGCCGACAAUUGGGACAGGAAGAGUGAGAGACAAGCCACGUGUCGAUACAGGACAUGUGGAAGCUGUGAUUACACGGCGGAAGAACUCG
rnacentral:lncRNA from 1 species